AUACUGUGAUAGAAAAACGAAGGAGGAGCGUCAGAAAUUAAAAGGACAAAUCGUAAUCUUAAAAAACAAAAGAAUAUAGCAACUUAUAUUAUGGUCAAUUACGACUUAUGAAUUAUUUAUUGAAUUACUAUCUACAAAUUUAAGUUUCCUUCUUUACGAGUCGUAUAAUACGAAGGAGAUUGUAGCGAAAAGAACUGGAGCAGUUGCAAGACCUAACUUCAAAUCUGCUGCGGUAGGUUUGCCCAUUGCUGACAAAGACGACACGAAAUCCAAAAGAUCGUCGACUAAUUGAAACGCUAAACCGAUGUUCCUACCGUAUUGGAAGGCUAAUUCGACCAACUGUUCAUCACCAUCAGCUAGCAUGGUCACCUACGUUCAAAAUAUAUUCAUUAAUUAUAUAUUAUUUGUUAAAUUAAUCGUAUUUAUAUUCACAUUAAUUAAUUAUAAAACGUAUUUAACUAUCCGUAGAUAUAAUUCUUCGUAUUAAAAAGUGCUUCGACCUGUACGAAAUGAUUAAAUAUGAAGAUUAACAUGACAGUACAUACCGCUUUCAAGGAAUUUGCAACUAAGCUGGCUGUCUUGCGAUAUGUUUUCGUGAGGUAAUGCGCGAAUCUCUCGUUUUCCGUCUCCUUAGAGCCAAGCUGCAUAAAUUCACCCUGCACCAGGUCCGUCACGACCUGGAAAGCACCUGGACUUGUCAAUACUUAUCAUCAGGGUUAUAUCAGGAUCCUAGAGCAUAUAUGGUUUGUGAACUUUACCUGACUGAGCGUGAGGGUGACAUCGUUAUUUUGCAGUUGAGCUAUCAUAAUUGACGCGACUGCCAGAACAUAAUCUCCUGUCAUGGUCACCUGAAAAUUGAACAACAAAUCAUGGAAACAUACAUUAAGAUAUUUUUCCAGCGGAUAAAAAUAUGGAGGAGUUUGUUUAAGAUUAAGUAAAAUGAAAUGAUCUAAUCUUUCUCGUGGAAAGUAACCCUGGCAUUUUAAUUGCUAAAAUGCGUAGUCGCUCAAUAAAGACAAUUAACGAAGAUAAUAUACUAUGACUUGAAAACAAGAUCUUCCUAAAUAAUAUACUUUGAUGUAUAUAUAUAUAUAUAUAUUUAUUUAUUUAUUUAUAAAUAUCUAAUUAUACAUUUAUAAAUAUACAAAUAAAUAUACUGUAAAUUCCGGAA